rnacentral:tRNA from 1 species
GUCUGGGUGGCUCAGUCGGUUAAGCGUCUGACUUCAGGUCAGGUCAUGAUCUCACGGUUUGUGGGUUCGAGCCCCACAUCAGGCU